rnacentral:lncRNA from 1 species
GGGGACGAUGCCCUCGAGUGGCCUGGCUUUUGGGUGGAUGAAAGGAGCCCAGGACCAAGCGUCCGAAUUUCACACAGGCGUCCUCCAAGAGGCGUUAACUCCCGACGGCUUGCGGGGGCAAGCGCUGCCCCGAACGCGUCACUCACCGGCACGUCAGGGGGCGCCCGCCCGGCCUGUACGGGAAAGGCCACAGCCCGCGGGUCUCAGGCCGUCUACGCGGGCACUCGGAGAAGCGUCCGUCUGUGGAGCGGAGCCGAGCUGAGGCGUGGGAGGCGCGCCCCCUCCCACCACGCCCCAGUGGGCGGACAACCCGUUCCCGAGCCAGGGAGGGGGCGGGGAAGGUGUGGAAAGUUCCAGAAGGUUAGGAGGGACACGGCGAGUAGGGAGGCCGGCGAGAAAAAAGAAGCAAAUAGGAGAGGAGAGGGGAGGAGGGCGGGGGAGGGGAGCGCGGGAAGCGGGGCCCGGCCGGGCGCAUUACCGCUCUGUGGCAGGAGGGGGCGCCCUUCCGGCCCGCACAGCCUCUGGGCAGAGCCCGCCUCCCAGCGCCUCCCGGCCCCGGCUCAGGGCAGCUGGGCGCCCCCUCCUGGCGGCUGCGCGGCCGCUCCCCGCCGGCCUCGCUCGGGUGCUCGGGUGCAGCCGGCGCUCGGCCUGCGGCGCGGGGAGGAAGGUCGGGGUCAGAGGGGGCGGGGCGCUGUGAGGGCGGUCAGGCUCGCCCCCCGUUCCGCACCCCCGACUCGGCUGCCUCACCUGGGCCUGCGGGGCUCGGCCCCCGCGCGCCCCGCGGCCGCCCCGCCCGGAGCCUGCCCCCGUGCACCGCGCUCGGUGCCCGUCGCGGCCGCAGCAGCUGGGGGGAGGGAGGGCGAGGCCGCCGGCUGCUCUGGGCGGCGUCUGGGGGCCCCGAGCCCCACGCGAGGAGCAGCCAUCUGGAGCCUCGGCGGCGGGCGGGGAGCCGGUCCUCUCCAGCGGCGUGGAUUUGGGGACGCCCACACACUAACUACCCAGCCAGAACGUGGGACGGGCACUGACAGGAUAUCACUCUUGGGGAUGAACACACUCUAG